rnacentral:sRNA from 1 species
UGGCCUAUAGUAGAAUCAAAUGAAAAGAAAAGAGCAAUUUUUUUUUUUUUUUUUUGGUUUUUUGGU